rnacentral:lncRNA from 1 species
GAUGUGCUCCUUUUGUUCCUUCUUUACCCGCCCCACCUCCACCUUCUCCGCCACCCGUUGUUCUGCCAUCACCUUCACCACCACCUCCAUCACCUGUGUUUACUCCGCAAUCACCACCACCACCGGUCUACUCCCCACCGCCUCCUGUUUACUCUCCACCUCCCCCUCCACCUUCACCUCCACCCCCACCACCUGUUUAUUCUCCACCUCCCCCUCCACCCUCACCUCCACCACCAAUUUAUUCACCUCCACCACCCCCGCCCUCACCUCCACCUCCUUCACCACCGCCACCUCCUCCACCAGUUUAUUCCCCACCACCUCCACCACCAUCCCCACCCCCACCAUCACCUCCCCCACCUCCGCCACCACCACCACCUACUUAUCCGUCACCCCCACCCCCUUCACCAACUUCAUCACCUCCAUAUUGCGUGAGGUCCCCACCUCCUCCGCCACCAAAUUCACCAC